CCAGGACAUAAUGGAGAAAGAUUUUUAUUUAGUCUGGUUGUGCUCUAUGAUAAAGCACCUCAUGUCUUUUAACCAAUCAGAGUAAAAAAUGCAUACAUUGAUUGACACUCUAUGUCAAUUCAAUGGUUUAUAAAAUGAACCUCAAUCCUUUGUUUCUGUGAUCGUUCUCAUUACGUUGGAACAGACUACUAUGAUGCAAGCUUCCUCCUCAGCUUGAUGCUGAAAGUGAAAUAAAUGAAAAGCUUUUCUCCUUCCUGAUUAAAAGAGAAGGUUUUGUCAUACUUGUCUUGUUAGAGGAUACGUUUCUUUCUUUAAUUAAGAUGUUGAUUUCUACCACAAGAGGCAUCAGAUGAAACAAUGGUGACCAGUCGACAGUUAUAAAUAUUUUGAGGACUGUGAUCUUAAAAGGGAAGGGAAAGAUGGUCGAGACAUUUUUUAACUGUUCUUCAUGCACAGGAACUACCGAUCCUCCAGUUUCAGACAGAAGACAGGAACCAACCAUUGGACUGGGUGACAGGUCUGUGCAGUGCACACCCAUAUGAGGCCAAAUAAGAGACUGUAAAAACUUUUUUGGAUAUGGGAGGAGGACCAUCAACAUGAAUACAGAGACAGCAUACUGGGAUUGAAAUCUAGUCACUGUCAGCGGCUGUACCAUCGUUCUGCCUCCUUUUUAAUUAUAGUUAUGUUAAGUUUUACAGAGUCUAACUUUUGCAGUGACCUUAUGAUUCAAAUUAUAUUUUUGAAUUUGAAAUAGUAUAAUUAAGCUGGACUCUAAAUAUCACUAAACUCUGAUGCCGACAUUGCAUUUGUUUAGAAAUAGGGUUUAAACAUGUUGAUAUCGAUUUUUUGUUUCUGUUCUGGUUUCUUUACACAUCCAACAGGUUAUACAGAGCGUCCUUCAUUUUGGUAAGCCUCUUUCUCACUUCUUAUCAUUGAUUAGUUUGACCUGAAGCGUGUUCCACAGAAUGAAACUGAUAACACCGGGACAGAUGGGGGCAACAGGGUGGCACUAUGGUUAGCAAUAUAAGCUCCGGCAGACUAGGUGUGAAACCCAGCCUAAUCACGGUCUCUCUUCAGUUUGCACAUUCUCCCUGUGUCAAGUUUGCAUGUUUUCUUCAAAAUAAUUACCUUUUAGGUCAGCUGACAACUAUGAAUUUUGCAUAAAUGUGUCCUGACAUGGAUUGACAAUACGGUGCU